UUUUUCUCAUAAAUCACCCAUCACAGAAACAAGACUUUCCUCUCUCCAAUAAAAACAAGAAGCCUUCUCUCCUUCACAGCUGCCAGUCUUCUAGAUUGUGAGCAGAAGUCUUCUUGCCAGCUUCUCCUCUGCCAGCCGUGAGAAGCAGUAGAGGUUUUUCAGCAUCAAUCAUGUCCAACAUCCAAGCAACGUCCACUCCCUUUCCUUCUUUGUUCACAGCAACUUCGUUUUUCUUGUUCCAAUCGAGAGACAAGAUGA
rnacentral:lncRNA from 1 species